rnacentral:rRNA from 1 species
GUGAGGAAUAUUGGUCAAUGGGCGGGAGCCUGAACCAGCCAAGUCGCGUGAAGGAAGAAGGAUCUAUGGUUCGUAAACUUCUUUUGCAGGGGAAUAAAGUGCGGGACGUGUCCUGUUUUGUAUGUACCCUGAGAAUAAGGAUCGGCUAACUCCGUGCCAGCAGCCGCGGUAAUACGGAGGAUCCGAGCGUUAUCCGGAUUUAUUGGGUUUAAAGGGUGCGUAGGUGGUUUGAUAAGUCAGCGGUGAAAGUUUGCAGCUUAACUGUAAAAAUGCCGUUGAAACUGUCGGACUUGAGUGUAAAUGAGGUAGGCGGAAUGCGUAGUGUAGCGGUGAAAUGCAUAGAUAUCACGCAGAACUCCGAUUGCGAAGGCAGCUUACUAAGCUACAACUGACACUGAAGCACGAAAGCGUGGGGAUCAAACAGGAUUAGAAACCCUGGUAGUCC